UUUGCCCGGAAACCGGGAAAGGGAAUAACACUCGAAAUGUAUAUAAGAAAUACUCAAGUUAAUAAAAAAGAAAAAAAUAAUGUAAUUGUGAGAUUGCAUGAAAUUUGGGCCCAGCUGAAUUUCAGUGGAAAUGUAUCAAUGCACAUUUAUUGAAUCCAGGUGUGAAAUUAUAUGUUUAUGCAUAUUUGUCUAUGUAAAAGUUUUUAAUUCUGUAAUUGCUAUGCACUUCUCAUGGUUUAAUAGAUGUUGAUGGCUCCAAGCUUCUCCCUAGCCUGUCAAGCAAAAAGCAUAAGGACAAAAUGGAAAAGGCUCCAGCAAGUAAUCUUCUACUUUAUCUCCUGCUGUUUCAGAAUGAGGUGGAAACUUUCUCCAGUGCCCAUGUGUUGAAGACUCUUCCCCAUCUUUUCUUCUAUUAGUGUAGUGCCCACCUCGACCAGCAAGGAAGACACAUCACCGUUGGAUUCUUCUCAACAGCCUUUAUUUCAGGAAAACCUCAUUCUUGAUGAGGGGGGCCCCGAGGGAAAAAAGGCACUCCCCCUAAAUACAAGAAAGGCUGUGGUUGUAAA